GUCUACACUACAGUCUUUAUGCUCACAGCGUCCCAAACACAAAUCAUUUUUAUAUUUAUUUAUUUAUAUUUUCAUUGUCUGGCUAUCUGGGAUUUCGGUAUGGAGUUAAAGGUUAGAAUUAUAAAUUUUUUUGGUAGUAUUAUAUCACAUUGUGAGUGCAUAUUAGCACCUUUUGUUGUCUCAGUAGUCAUGUCACAGCAGU